AGGGAGCUGUGCCGCCGGCGCCAUUGUGGCUGCGGUGUGAGGGGCUGGGGCGGGCUCGGCCGCCUGCUCUGCUCUUCCUCCGCCCGCACUCGCGGUCCCGUUUCCGCCUUUAAGCUAAAUCCUACCCUGCUUGAGGGUAGGAAGGGUCUGCAGAGGGGCCUGGUCAGGCUGGGCCGAUGGGUCGAGGCCAGUGGUGUGUGGUGGUCCUGCCCUUGGGUCACACCAACCCCAUGGACGCUCCAGGCUGGGGGCAGAGUGGCUGGAGAACUGCCCGGCGGAAAAGGGCCUGGGGGUGUUGGUCGACAGCCAUCUGGACGUGAGCCAGCAGUGUGCCCAGGGGGCCAAGAAGGCCAACAGCACCCUGGCCCGUACCAGCAGGAGUGUGGCCAGCAGGACUGGGGCAGUGACCGUCCCCCUGAACUCGGCACUGAUGCCAGUCUUCACGGUGGGGCUGAACAGCAUGCUGACUCCCUUUUCCUUCGGUAAUGCCAACCCCAAACUCAUAUUCCACUGGUCGGUGAACAAAAGAGAUGUUCUAGACCUUCUUCCUCGACACAUGGAGGUAUUUGAUAAGCCGCUGCUGUUCUCUCCUGUGUUUUGCACUGAAGGAAUUUUGAUCUCCACGAAUUCUCAACUCAAGCUGUACACAAAACAGGUAGGCGAAGAAAGGAAAAACCAGAAUGCAGAGGCAGUUCAUGAUGUGUUUCUCUCCUGUUAGUGCCUGAAGCUGUCUGUCAGCUUAUUUUUCCCGUGCUAAAAUGCUCAGCAGGGACUUGCAGACUUCCUGCUGCCUGACUGAGAAUUUGAGGCAUGCUCAGUUUCAAAUUUCUGUCUAAAAAGGCUCUAUUAAGCAUAGUUCAAUACAGAGCAGAAAACGGUACUCAAAUUUUAAAGGGAUAGCUCUGUACUGGUGAAACUUUCACUGCUGAGCAUUGACAGGCAGAGCAACAUGAUUAAUCUGAGAAAAUGAACUCGACCUACAGGAGCAGAUCUCUUCAAUGUACGUAGGUCGUGGUGCCUGCUUCUGUCAUUCUUUUUGGCUUGGUGGGUUUACACUGCCAACUUCUGGGGAAUCUCCUGGGUUGCUCCAGGGGCU